rnacentral:rRNA from 1 species
GAACGCUGGCGGUAUGCCUAAUACAUGCAAGUCGAACGCUGAAACACUCUGCUUGCAGAGUGUGGAUGAGUGGCGAACGGGUGAGUAACACGUGGGGAACCUGCCCAUAAGAGGGGGAUAACAUCCGGAAACGGGUGCUAAUACCGCAUAGGUGAUCAUAGCGCAUGCUUAGAUCAUUAAAGAUGGCUUCGGCUAUCGCUUAUGGAUGGCCCCGCGGCGUAUUAGCUAGUUGGUGAGGUAAUGGCUCACCAAGGCUGUGAUACGUAGCCGACCUGAGAGGGUGAUCGGCCACACUGGAACUGAGACACGGUCCAGACUCCUACGGGAGGCAGCAGUAGGGAAUCUUCCACAAUGGGCGAAAGCCUGAUGGAGCAAUACCGCGUGAGUGAAGAAGGUCUUCGGAUCGUAAAGCUCUGUUGUUAGAGAAGAACAAGAGGUGUAGUAACUGGCACCUCCUUGACGGUAUCUAACCAGAAAGUCACGGCUAACUACGUGCCAGCAGCCGCGGUAAUACGUAGGUGACAAGCGUUGUCCGGAUUUAUUGGGCGUAAAGCGAGCGCAGGCGGUCUUUUAAGUCUGAUGUGAAAGCCCACGGCUCAACCGUGGAGGGUCAUUGGAAACUGGAAGACUUGAAUGCAGAAGAGGAAAGUGGAAUUCCAUGUGUAGCGGUGAAAUGCGUAGAUAUAUGGAGGAACACCAGUGGCGAAGGCGACUUUCUGGUCUGUAAUUGACGCUGAGGCUCGAAAGCGUGGGGAGCGAACAGGAUUAGAUACCCUGGUAGUCCACGCCGUAAACGAUGAGUGCUAAGUGUUGGAGGGUUUCCGCCCUUCAGUGCUGGAGCUAACGCGUUAAGCACUCCGCCUG